GACGUGCGUCAUUACGUCCAGCUUGCGGUCUGUCUAUAAAAUGCGAGGGUUCGCGGGUUUUGCUCUUGAAUGCCGUUGGUUUGGCUGUUUCGCUUAGGGUUACAACCCUAGUUAGUAAUGUUAGAUGCAGCCUGACCUGUUGAGCUUUUGCAGCAACUUUUGUUUUUGUUCCUGAUUUACAGCAUCUGCAAUUCUUUCGGUUUUUAAAAAAUAAAAAUGCAGACCUCGUUAA